UACGUAGGGUGCGAGCGUUGUCCGGAAUUAUUGGGCGUAAAGAGCUCGUAGGCGGUCUGUCGCGUCGGCUGUGAAAUCCCGAGGCUCAACCUCGGGUCUGCAGUCGAUACGGGCAAACUUGAGUGUUGCAGGGGAGACUGGAAUUCCUGGUGUAGCGGUGAAAUGCGCAGAUAUCAGGAGGAACACCGGUGGCGAAGGCGGGUCUCUGGGCAACAACUGACGCUGAGGAGCGAAAGCGUGGGGAGCGAACAGG
rnacentral:rRNA from 1 species